CCCAGGGACUUUGUGAGAUCUCCAAAAGCCCAAAUAAAUAAAGUUUUUGGAGCUUCUGAAAUGUUACUUUUAAGGACGUGGAGAGAAGGUGGCUACCUGCAAACCGGGAAGAGAACUCUCACCAGAAACUGAACACCGCCAGAAAGUGAAUUCCCAGCCACCAGAAAUGUGAGAAGAUACAUUUCUUUGUUUAAUCUAUCCAGUCUAUUGUAUUUACAGCCUGAGCAGACUAAGACAACUAGUAAUACAAUGUGUCUAUU
rnacentral:lncRNA from 1 species